AACGCACGAGACCUGCGGACCUGCGGAGGGAUCAUUACAGAGUUUUCUAAACUCCCAAACCUUUGUGAACUUACCACUGUUGCCUCGGCGGAAGCUAUUGGGGUUACCCUGUAGCGACCGCCGGUGGACCAACCCAACUCUUGUAAUUUUGAGAAAUCUGAGAGUCUUAUACAAAUAAGUCAAAACUUUUAACAACGGAUCUCU
rnacentral:misc_RNA from 1 species